GUGCCAGCCGCCGCGGUAAUACCGGCAGCCCAAGUGAUGGCCGAUCUUAUUGGGCCUAAAGCGUCCGUAGCUGGCCGCGCAAGUCCAUCGGAAAAUCCACCCGCCCAACGGGUGGGCGUCCGGUGGAAACUGCGUGGCUUGGGACCGGAAGGCGCGACGGGUACGUCCGGGAUAGGAGUGAAAUCCCGUAAUCCUGGACGGACCGCCGAUGGCGAAAGCACGUCGCGAAGACGGAUCCGACAGUGAGGGACGAAAGCUAGGGUCUCGAACCGGAUUAGAAACCUAGUAUCC
rnacentral:rRNA from 1 species